GCCUGGGUGGCUCAGUCGGUUGAGCGUCUGACUUCGGCUCAGGUCAUGAUCUCGCGGUCUGUGAGUUCGAGCCUCGCGUCAGGCU
rnacentral:tRNA from 1 species